GAUUGUGGCUCAGUGGUAGAGCACGUGCCUAGCAUGCAUGAGGCACUGGGUUUGAUCCCCAGCACAACA
rnacentral:tRNA from 1 species